rnacentral:rRNA from 1 species
GAUCCUGGCUCAGGAUGAACGCUGGCGGCGUGCCUAAUACAUGCAAGUCGAGCGAGGGUACUUGUACCCUAGCGGCGAACGGGUGAGUAACACGUAGGUAAUCUACCCUUAAGACGAGGAUACCGUUUGGAAACGAACGUUAAAACUGGAUAGGAUAGGUAAGACAAAAGUUUAACUAUUUAAAAGAGCAAUCUACUUAAGGAGGAGCCUGCGGCGCAUUAGCUAGUUGGUGAGGUAAUGGCCCACCAAGGCGAUGAUGCG